AAGUGACGCGGUAGAGGAGCGUUCUGUAAGCCUGUGAAGGUGAGUUGAGAAGCUUGCUGGAGGUAUCAGAAGUGCGAAUGCUGACAUGAGUAACGACAAUGGGUGUGAAAAACACCCACGCCGAAAGACCAAGGGUUCCUGCGCAACGUUAAUCGACGCAGGGUUAGUCGGUUCCUAAGGCGAGGCUGAAAAGCGUAGUCGAUGGGAAACAGGUUAAUAUUCCUGUACUUCUGGUUACUGCGAUGGAGGGACGGAGAAGGCUAGGCCAGCUUGGCGUUGGUUGUCCAAGUUUAAGGUGGUAGGCUGAAAUCUUAGGUAAAUCCGGGGUUUCAAGGCCGAGAGCUGAUGACGAGUCGUCUUUUAGAUGACGAAGUGGUUGAUGCCAUGCUUCCAAGAAAAGCUUCUAAGCUUCAGGUAACCAGGAACCGUACCCCAAACCGACACAGGUGGUCGGGUAGAGAAUACCAAGGCGCUUGAGAGAACUCGGGUGAAGGAACUAGGCAAAAUGGCACCGUAACUUCGGGAGAAGGUGCGCCGGCUAGGGUGAAGGAUUUACUCCGUAAGCCCUGGCUGGUCGAAGAUACCAGGCCGCUGCGACUGUUUAUUAAAAACACAGCACUCUGCAAACACGAAAGUGGACGUAUAGGGUGUGACGCCUGCCCGGUGCCGGAAGGUUAAUUGAUGGGGUUAGCGCAAGCGAAGCUCUUGAUCGAAGCCCCGGUAAACGGCGGCCGUAACUAUAACGGUCCUAAGGUAGCGAAAUUCCUUGUCGGGUAAGUUCCGACCUGCACGAAUGGCGUAACGAUGGCGGCGCUGUCUCCACCCGAGACUCAGUGAAAUUGAAAUCGCUGUGAAGAUGCAGUGUAUCCGCGGCUAGACGGAGAGACCCCGUGAACCUUUACUGUAGCUUUGCACUGGACUUUGAGCCUGCUUGUGUAGGAUAGGUGGGAGGCUUUGAAGCGUGGACGCCAGUUCGCGUGGAGCCAUCCUUGAAAUACCACCCUGGCAUGCUUGAGGUUCUAACUCUGGUCCGUGAUCCGGAUCGAGGACAGUGUAUGGUGGGCAGUUUGACUGGGGCGGUCUCCUCCUAAAGAGUAACGGAGGAGUACGAAGGUGCGCUCAGACCGGUCGGAAAUCGGUCGUAGAGUAUAAAGGCAAAAGCGCGCUUGACUGCGAGACAGACACGUCGAGCAGGUACGAAAGUAGGUCUUAGUGAUCCGGUGGUUCUGUAUGGAAGGGCCAUCGCUCAACGGAUAAAAGGUACUCCGGGGAUAACAGGCUGAUACCGCCCAAGAGUUCAUAUCGACGGCGGUGUUUGGCACCUCGAUGUCGGCUCAUCACAUCCUGGGGCUGAAGCCGGUCCCAAGGGUAUGGCUGUUCGCCAUUUAAAGUGGUACGCGAGCUGGGUUUAGAACGUCGUGAGACAGUUCGGUCCCUAUCUGCCGUGGACGUUUGAGAUUUGAGAGGGGCUGCUCCUAGUACGAGAGGACCGGAGUGGACGAACCUCUGGUGUUCCGGUUGUCACGCCAGUGGCAUUGCCGGGUAGCUAUGUUCGGAAAAGAUAACCGCUGAAAGCAUCUAAGCGGGAAACUUGCCUCAAGAUGAGAUCUCACUGGGAACUUGAUUCCCCUGAAGGGCCGUCGAAGACUACGACGUUGAUAGGCUGGGUGUGUAAGCGUUGU
rnacentral:rRNA from 1 species